ACAGUCUGAAGAAGAAGUUUGGCCUCAACACGCUGGAAAUCAGAAGGUGCUCUGUUGAGGAUGCUGGGGAGUACAAGGUGGUUGCCAGGAGUUCUCUGGGUGAAGCUACUACCAUUGCCACUCUGGUGGUCAACUCAUAUCAAGGAGCCGAGGCCACAAUCGAGCAAUCCUGGACCCCAA